rnacentral:rRNA from 1 species
UGCCUAACACAUGCAAGUCGAACGAAGGCUUCGGCCUUAGUGGCGCACGGGUGAGUAACACGUGGGAACCUGCCUUUCGGUUCGGAAUAACGUUUGGAAACGAACGCUAACACCGGAUACGCCCUAUGGGGGAAAGUUUACGCCGAGAGAGGGGCCCGCGUCGGAUUAGGUAGUUGGUGAGGUAAAGGCUCACCAAGCCUUCGAUCCGUAGCUGGUCUGAGAGGAUGAUCAGCCACACUGGGACUGAGACACGGCCCAGACUCCUACGGGAGGCAGCAGUGGGGAAUAUUGGACAAUGGGCGCAAGCCUGAUCCAGCAAUGCCGCGUGAGUGAUGAAGGCCUUAGGGUUGUAAAGCUCUUUCGCACGCGACGAUGAUGACGGUAGCGUGAGAAGAAGCCCCGGCUAACUUCGUGCCAGCAGCCGCGGUAAUACGAAGGGGGCUAGCGUUGUUCGGAAUUACUGGGCGUAAAGGGCGCGUAGGCGGCCUGUUUAGUCAGAAGUGAAAGCCCCGGGCUCAACCUGGGAAUAGCUUUUGAUACUGGCAGGCUUGAGUUCCGGAGAGGAUGGUGGAAUUCCCAGUGUAGAGGUGAAAUUCGUAGAUAUUGGGAAGAACACCGGUGGCGAAGGCGGCCAUCUG